GCACCUGUAGCUUAAUCGGACAAUGGAACCGGACGUGGAGUGGAGGUAGGCCCGGCAAUACCCGCUGCAGCUUUCCAGGGCGUCAAUGCAGGGGGUGGAGACGGGUUGAGGGCCGCAAUGCCAAGGUUUCAAAAGUACCAGUUUUGGGGGCUGGGGAAUGCGGGUUCGAGUCCCGUCGGGUGCGCCA
rnacentral:tRNA from 2 species